GAAGAACGUCGUUUCCGGUGAAACGUCUGGACUUCAAAUCCAGGUGGGGCUGCCAGCAGUCCCGGGUAGGUUCAACUCCUAUGUUCUUCC
rnacentral:tRNA from 1 species